rnacentral:rRNA from 1 species
AUUGAACGCUGGCGGCAGGCCUAACACAUGCAAGUCGAACGGUAACAGGAAGCUGCUUGCUGCUUCGCUGACGAGUGGCGGACGGGUGAGUAAUGUCUGGGCAACUGCCUGAUGGAGGGGGAUCACUACUGGAAACGGUAGCUAAUACCGCAUAACGUCGCAAGACCAAAGAGGGGGACCUUUGGGCCUCUCGCCAUCGGAUGUGCCCAGAUGGGAUUAGCUAGUGGGUGGGGUAACGGCUCACCUAGGCGACGAUCCCUAGCUGGUCUGAGAGGAUGAACAGCCACACUGGAACUGAGACACGGUCCAGACUCCUACGGGAGGCAGCAGUGGGGAAUAUUGGACAAUGGGCGCAAGCCUGAUGCAGCCAUGCCGCGUGUAUGAAGAAGGCCUUCGGGUUGUAAAGUACUUUCAGCGGGGAGGAAGGGAGUAAAGUUAAUACCUUUGCUCAUUGACGUUACCAGCAGAAGAAGCACCGGCUAACUCCGUG